AAAGUCGUAACAAGGUUUCCGUAGGUGAACCUGCGGAAGGAUCAUUACCUGGCCUUGGGCCGCUCACGGGGGCCCGUCGCUUGCGGCGGCGCUCCCGGGGGUGCUUAGCCCUUGACUAUUACCUUGAUUAUGCGCACCUUUGUUGUUCCCUCGGCAGGUCUCCUGCCGACAGGAACCCCAUAAACCCUUAUGUAUAAGCAUCAAACGUCUGAAAACAAAUUUAAUUAUUUACAACUUUCAACAAUGGAUCUCUUGGUUCUG
rnacentral:misc_RNA from 1 species